rnacentral:rRNA from 1 species
AGAGUUUGAUCCUGGCUCAGGAUGAACGCUGGCGGCGUGCCUAACACAUGCAAGUCGAGCGAAGCAUCUGAAAGAAGUUUUCGGACGGAAUUCGGAUGACUGAGCGGCGGACGGGUGAGUAACGCGUGGGUAACCUGCCUCAUACAGGGGGAUAACAGUUAGAAAUGACUGCUAAAACCGCAUAAGCGCACAGUACCGCAUGGUACGGUGUGAAAAACUCCGGUGGUAUGAGAUGGACCCGCGUCUGAUUAGCCAGUUGGCGGGGUAACGGCCCACCAAAGCGACGAUCAGUAGCCGACCUGAGAGGGUGACCGGCCACAUUGGGACUGAGACACGGCCCAAACUCCUACGGGAGGCAGCAGUGGGGAAUAUUGCACAAUGGGGGAAACCCUGAUGCAGCGACGCCGCGUGAGUGAAGAAGUAUUUCGGUAUGUAAAGCUCUAUCAGCAGGGAAGAAGAAAGACGGUACCUGACUAAGAAGCCCCGGCUAACUACGUGCCAGCAGCCGCGGUAAUACGUAGGGGGCAAGCGUUAUCCGGAUUUACUGGGUGUAAAGGGAGCGCAGACGGCGAUGCAAGUCUGAAGUGAAAGCCCGGGGCUCAACCCCGGUACUGCUUUGGAAACUGUAUAGCUAGAGUACUGGAGAGGCAAGUGGAAUUCCUAGUGUAGCGGUGAAAUGCGUAGAUAUUAGGAGGAACACCAGUGGCGAAGGCGGCUUGCUGGACAGUAACUGACGUUGAGGCUCGAAAGCGUGGGGAGCAAACAGGAUUAGAUACCCUGGUAGUCCACGCGGUAAACGA